rnacentral:rRNA from 1 species
CCCCACCACCAAAGCAUUCUAUGGUGUUGAAGGCCCUGCAAAGCAGCAUCGCGGUGGCGGAGCGUCGUUUGCGACGCCCAACACACAAAACAAGCGGUGAGUGCUUUGGGGUGGGGUGACUGCGUACCUUUUGUAUAAUGGGUCAGCGACUUAUAUUCUGUAGCAAGGUUAACCGAAUAGGGGAGCCGGAGGGAAACCGAGUCUUAAUUGGGCGUUAAGUUGCAGGGUAUAGACCCGAAACCCGGUGAUCUAGCCAUGGGCAGGUUGAAGGUUGGGUAACACUAACUGGAGGACCGAACCGACUAAUGUUGAAAAAUUAGCGGAUGACCUGUGGCUGGGGGUGAAAGGCCAAUCAAACCGGGAGAUAGCUGGUUCUCCCCGAAAGCUAUUUAGGUAGCGCCUCGUGAAUUCAUCUCCGGGGGUAGAGCACUGUUUCGGCUAGGGGGCCAUCCCGGCUUACCAACCCGAUGCAAACUGCGAAUACCGGAGAAUGUUAUCACGGGAGACACACGGCGGGUGCUAACGUCCGUCGUGAAGAGGGAAACAACCCAGACCGCCAGCUAAGGUCCCAAAGUCAUGGUUAAGUGGGAAACGAUGUGGGAAGGCCCAGACAGCCAGGAUGUUGGCUUAGAAGCAGCCAUCAUUUAAAGAAAGCGUAAUAGCUCACUGGUCGAGUCGGCCUGCGCGGAAGAUGUAACGGGGCUAAACCAUGCACCGAAGCUGCGGCAGCGAA